AGCAGCCGCGGUAAUUCCAGCUCCAAUAGCGUAUAUUAAAGUUGUUGCAGUUAAAAAGCUCGUAGUUGAAUUUCGGGGUUUAUCCGUCGGUCGGGCUUUCGGGUCUGUACUGGCGUGAUGGAUUCCUACCUUCUGAAUAACCGGCAUGUCAUUAAUUUGGUGCGCCGGGGAAGCAGGACUGUUACCUUGAAAAAAUUAGAGUGCUUAAAGCAGGCUUAUGCCUGAAUACAUUAGCAUGGAAUAAUGAAAUAGGACGGCAUGGUUCUAUUUUGUUGGUUUCUAGGAUCACCGUAAUGAUUAAUAGGGAUAGUUGGGGGCAUUAGUAUUCAAUUGUCAGAGGUGAAAUUCUUGGAUUUAUUGAAGACUAACUACUGCGAAAGCAUUUGCCAAGGAUGUUUUCAUUAAUCGAGAACGAAAGUUAGGGGAUCGAAGACGAUCAGAUACCGUCGUAGUCUUAACCAUAAACUAUGCCGACUAGGGAUCGGAUGAUGUUAAUUUUUAAUGACUCAUUCGGCGCCUU
rnacentral:rRNA from 1 species